rnacentral:lncRNA from 1 species
UAAUUGCACUAGCACGCACGAUGUAUAACCAAGAAAUCAACCGAGAUAAAUAAGCAUUAGGAGCACGUAGGCAUAUACAUUAGACGAUGAGUUCCUCCUCCUUGUGGGUCUCGAUGACGACGUCGGAGGUGGGGUAGGCGGCGCAGGUGAGCACCCACCCGGCGGCGACCUGGUCGUCGUCGAGGAAGCUCUGGUCGGACUGGUCGAUGCUGCCGGAGACGAGCUUGCCGGCGCAGGAGGAGCAGGAGCCGGCGCGGCACGAGUAGGGCAGCUCGAUCCCUUCCUCCUCGGCGUGGUCGAGGAUGUAGACGUCGUCGGGCACCUGGAGCUCCACCUCGCCGUCGGGAGUGAUGAGCUUGACGUUGUAGGUCGCCUGCGCGCGCAGCCUGGCUCCGCGGGGAGCCUUGGCCGGCAGCGGGACGGUGGACGGCGCCGGCGCCGGGGCCGCGCGGAGGGCGAAGCAGGCAGGCGCGCGGAGGCUGCUGAGCACGGUGGCCAUUGCGGACUUGCGGCGUGUGUAGUGAAGGGAGAGCUUGGAGCUGGAGGAGUUGGAGCUAUUAGCAGAGGCGAGCAGCAGCUAAUGAUGAUAGCUUAUAGGUAGCUAAAAGCGAGAUGAGGUGAAAUGAAGGGUCGGGGUGGGUGUAGCGUGAAGGGGAGGGCGGGAGGCUUAUCUUCUUGGUCGGGACCAGGACGACAUCCGUGGGGGAAAUCAACUACUCGAAAGUCGAAAUACAGCAGGGCCACACGCUAGACUCCAAACGUCAUCGAGAAUUCUCCGACCAUGAAUUUCACCAUGAAAUUCGCUAGUAAAAAUAUAACUUCUCCUCACCGAUCACAUUUGAAUCCGGUACUAAUGUUAAAAUUUGCCGGAGGUCCUUUUGUACCGAGUGGGGUUUCCAAUUGGUACUAAAGUCCCCUUUUAAUGGUUGGAAACCCCACCCAAUACUAAAGCCCCGUCUGCCGCCGGCCCUCCCCCACUCACACGCGCCUGCAUUAUCUCCUCAUCCAGUACACUUCUCCUUCUCUUCUCUCAUACUCCCUCUCCUCUUCCUAUCCUCUACUCUCCUCCCUCACACUCCCUCUCCCAGAUCUGCCUCUCCUCCGCUCGCCCCUCACCGACGAUGAGGAGUGGCGGCGUCGGGCCGGGGCGGCUGCGACGACGCAGGAGGGGCGCGGCAGCGGGAGCAGUGGGGUGGAGCAGGGAGCGGAGAGGAGGCGGUGAUGGGAGAGUGCAGCAGAGGAGGGGGAGGAGGAGGAGGAGGCGGAGGGGGCUGGCGGCGGGCGGAGGGAGGCCGGGACCGGCGGGGGAGGGGGGGGUUCUUCUUUUUUAAUUUUUUUAACACCCUCUAGUACAAGUUAUCUCAAUCGGUACUAGAGGAUCCCCCUCGAGUACAGGAUUGCUACCAGUUGCAGAAUCGGUACUAGAGGGGGGUUGGGAACCGACAAUAGAGGUUAUUUUUUAUAGUGAUUACUCAAAAUAGUGACAGAGAAAGUAGUAUUCAUUGUAUUCUCACGUACUCCCUCCGUUUAUUUUUAUAAGGCGUGAUAUGGCAUGGCACGUACUCCCAAAUUACACUUUGAUCAUUAAUUUAUCUUAUAUUAUAUUGUUUAUGACUAUAAACUUAUAAUCAUUGGAGAAUACAUUUGAUUGCAAAUCCAACCAUUUCAAAUUUAUACCAUAAAAAUAAAAAAAUAUUGGUUAAAUUAUUAGUCAAAGAUAGCAAACUUUUACAUUUGAUAUGCGCAUACGCCUUAUAUACAAACAUGAACGGAAGGAGUAGAAAAUAGACUGUGUGCGCCAGUCACUGCCCAUUGGUUGGUUGAGCGUGGCGUGUGGAGGCCACGGCCUCGAUCCAGGGCAUAUGCUUCUUUCGGUCCUUAGCAGUUGGCGGUAUCACGUGGUUCUCGUCAAUUUUUGUGUAUCUGGCCAGAGAUCUAAAUUACAUGUAAUUUUACAUGUAUGAAAAAUUAGUCAGUUCGCUGGUUAGCUUUCCAUGCCAACCAUGGAUCUCUUUUCUCUUUUCUUUUCUUUCUCUUCUUUUCUUCUCUCCCUGGUGAUGAGUGAUGGGUGGGUGGGUGGUCAGCAAAAACUAGCGAGCCUGCUGCAAAAACUAUGGCAUGGAAAGCUAACCAUCGAUAUAGUAUCAGUAUAAAAACUAGUGCCUGCUCCGUUAGAUUAGGUGGAAAACUCUAGUCAGUUCGCUACUGAACUACGGAUUGAUAAACUUUAGAUGGAAUACUCUAAGGAAAAAGUUACGAUAAUCCGUGCGCUUGCGAUUCACAAAUUGAUGCGCUAACUGCCGCCAACAAGCUUUUCCGGUGCUGUUGCCAGGGAUCAGCAACUCGAACCCUAGGGUGAGACUAACUCUAAUUUUUCUAUUGCAUAUCCUGUUUUUCUUGUUUGCGUCCUUAAAAGCAAGUAAAUACUAGACGUCAUAUAAUCGAACAUGGACUUUCAAGUCUCAAUUCACUCCGAUAAGAUGAUAACAACAUCGAGCUCAACUCUUUAGCAGUAGGUGAUAACUUGUUAGUGGCCCAACAUCUGUUAUUGAGUCCACACCAAUGAACACAAUACAAAUGCUUAUAAGCAAGUGGCACAUAAUCUGAGAUGGGCUUAGCAAGUGGUAAAACCAUGGUGUUGGGAUAUGAGGAUGUCCAGUUAACAGAGGUGAAAAACUAAUCAAGUUGCUCAAGUAAAGGAUCUUGCUGCAUGUUGCUCCUGGUAAAAGUCCUUCACUUAAUUGGUAAUUCAAUGAGGCCCAGCUGCCCAAUGACGUCAUUAAAUAGCAAGGUAUCCAGAAAAUUACCACCCAAUUUGUUCAUGUCAUCCAGAGAUAUGUAGAAAUUGAAAUCCCCUAGGAAGAUCCAAUUAUCCUCGGCCUGGUAAGACAAGGGGUGGAGGAAGGUUGUGAGCGUGAUACUAAAGGGUGCUUGUGUUGGUGUGUGUGGGGGGGGGGGAGGAUGGGGAUAGUGUCGCAUCUCAAAUGAGCUAGUCCUCUCAUUUGACAACCUCAGCCAUCAUAUUUGGAUCCAGUGAUUGCUUUCUUUUCUAUCUCCUCUCAAUCUGCAUUUUGUCUUCCUUGUAACUUCUCAGUUCUCAUGACAUUCUCCCAUAACCAGCACUUCUCAGUUCUCACAACAUUUCCCCAUGACUAGCACCUCCCGUUGGGCAUCUCCUCCCAACCAGCCUAACGGUAUCCCUCAUUGUCCCACCUUCCAGCGUGUUGUCUGCAGUCGCUACUAGCUUAGGCUAGGUUGCAGCCCUAACUGAGCUUUCUUUAAAGACCAGGGGACUACCUCCAAAACACUAUAUUCCAAAGGAAAUUCACCGUGUUGUAUGUCAAUUGAAUCUUGCUUCACUUCCAGGAGAUUGAGAUACGAGAAGUAUUGUCAAAUUAAUCCAUUUUGAAUAGGGUUCGACGAAUAGUGACAUGAAGGGGGACUAUGCACAUGGUAGGGGCAAAGGAACUCACAAGCUUUGAUAUGAGGUAGGGUUCGACGAAUAGUGACAUGGAGGGGGACUAUGCACCUGGUAGGGGUAAAGGAACUCUCAAGCUUUGAGAUGAGGUAGGCUAAGGCAAGAGGCGGAGAGAGGGUGCGAGGGGUGCUUGCGAUUGUGUGGUGUGUGGGAGGAUGGGGGUUGGCACAUGUUGAGGAAGUUUUGUAUACAUGUUAUAAUUUGUUGGUUUGGGCCUUAGGUUUCUAUCCAAGAGCAACAAAAAAUUUUGAACAAACAUUUCAAAAAUAAAUUAAAUUUGAAUAACUCUGUCACACACAUAUAUCCCCGUUGAUCUUGGUGGUCACGAUAAACUAGCUAGCCAAGUCCACACAUGCUUUCUUUUGAAUCAUUUUAUAGCAUGGCAUAACAAAUAGCAUCAGAUUCAGACGACUACUCAAGCUGCAUUUCCGUAGCACGUUUAGUCAGGUACAUACGUACACACACACACACAGAUAUAUAGUAUAUAUAUGUAUUGGUUGUACAAAAAUAAAGAGGAAAAACGUUAUUAAUUACUUGAGCGAAGCCUAUCAUGCAUCCGCAGUAAAAAUGAAUGAUACAGAGACCAGCAAUAAGCAGAGUAACAAACGAUGGAGAAGCUGCUGAUGCCGAUGCUUAAUUGCAAGGUCUCAUGGUGACACUGACAUGCAUGAUACAAGAAAGGGAAUUGUCCGGCGUCGUCAAACUCGAUCUCUUGCAAGAGCAAGACAGAUACUAGAUAUAGCAAGCGCGUAGCAGGUAGUGAUCGAGCUUCUUAGAUGAGCUCCUCCUCCUUGUGCGUCUCGAUGACGACGUCGGAGGUGGGGUAGGCGUGGCAGGUGAGCACCCACCCGGCGGCGACCUGGCCGUCGUCGAGGAAGCUCUGGUCGGACUGGUCGACGGAGCCGGAGACGACCUUGCCGGCGCAGGAGGAGCAGGAGCCGGCGCGGCACGAGUAGGGCAGGUCGAUCCCAUCCUCCUCGGCCUGGUCGAGGAUGUAGACGUCGUCGGGCACCUGGAGCUCCACCUCGCCGUCGGGGGUGAUGAGCUUGACGUUGUAGGUGGCCUGCGCGCGCA